rnacentral:rRNA from 1 species
UACGUAGGGGGCAAGCGUUAUCCGGAUUCACUGGGUGUAAAGGGAGCGUAGACGGCCAUGCAAGCCUGGAGUGAAAGCCCGGGGCCCAACCCCGGGACUGCUCUGGGAACUGUGCGGCUGGAGUGCGGGAGGGGCAGGCGGAAUUCCUGGUGUAGCGGUGAAAUGCGUAGAUAUCAGGAGGAACACCGGCGGCGAAGGCGGCCUGCUGGACCGCGACUGACGUUGAGGCUCGAAAGCGUGGGGAGCAAACGGG